rnacentral:rRNA from 1 species
AUGGAGAGAGCAUCUCAAAUCACCUUCUUCCUGUUACUCAUCAUCCACUCCGGCAUAGCUCAAAAUGCUACCACGAGUGGAGCAGAUGAGUUCCCCGUUGGAGUGAUCCUCAACUUGGAAUCAUUGCGGGGCAAGAUGGCGCGGACCAGCCUUUUGAUGGCUCUGGAAGACUUCUAUACGGUCCACAGAAACUACAGCCCGAAGGUAGUUCUCCACAUCAGGGACUCCAAAAGUAACAGCGUAGAAGCUGCAUCAGCAGCUCUCGACCUGCUAGAGAAUUACAAUGUCCAAGCUAUCAUAGGCCCUCAAACAUCUUCACAAGCAGCAUUUGUAUCGGAUCUCGGGAAUAAAAGUCAGAAAUACGAUAUAGCAAUUGGAGACAUAACAAUCUCAGAGAACAGAAUGUCUUAUGUCGACUUCGCUCUACCGUACACAGAAUCAGGAGUGGCAAUGGUUGUUCCAGCCAAGAGCAGCAGAACUAACAACACAUGGAUUUUCGUUGAGCCAUUAUCACGUGACCUGUGGCUCGGAAGUAUCAUAUUAUUUUUCUACACAUGGGUUGUUCUCUGGCUAUUGGAGUUUCUUGGAAAUAACACAAAUAUCCCGGACGAAGUUCCCAGAAAGCUCGGGAUUAUGACCUUCUUUUCCCUGUUUGGAGACAAGGACAGAGUGGAACGCUUACUAUCUCGGAUAGUUUUGAUUGUAUGGGUAUUUUUCUUCCUUGUAUUGUCAGCAAGCUACACCGCGAACUUGGCAACGAUGCUUACCAUACGACAGCUAAAUCCAACUAUAACUGAUAUCCAUGAACUCCGUAAAAGUGGGGAGUAUGUAGGAUGCAUUCGUGGUUCCUACGUCGAGAGAAUAUUGGAACAACUCAAUUUCGACGGAUCGAAGAUCAAGACCUAUAAUACCUAUGAUGGAUUUUACAGUGCACUCUCAAAGGGAAGCAAAAAUGGUGGAAUUGCUGCGUUCAUUCAUGAAGUCCCAUACAUCAGAUUAUUUCUUGCAAGGAACUGCAAAGGGUACACUAUGGUUCCAUUUUAUAAAGCAGCGGGUUUUGGAUAUGCAUUUCCAAAAGGAUCUCCUCUAGUUGGGGACAUCUCAAAGGCAAUCCUGAGCGUAAUAGGAGGAGACACUAUUAAUCAAAUUGAGAAGAAAUGGAUCGGAAUCGGAUAUCAAAACAACUGCAACAAUGCGGGGCGUGCACCUGAUCCAGAAAAACUCACACCUGAUGGUUUUACAGGACUUUUUAUACUUAGUGGAGUUGUUUCAACUUCUUCUCUUCUGAUAGCCGUGGUGAUUUACUUUUAUGAAAAGAAAAACUCAACAACUAAGACGCAACCUGAACCAAAGGGAGAUCAGGCAGAAGGAAAUGAAAGAGGUAAUGAAGCUGGAGAAGAGAUGCAAAACAUAGGUCUACAACCAAGUGGCCACAGGCACAAUGCUUCAGCUGUCUCUUGGGGGUUUAGAAGAAGUUUUGGCACAAGAGUGGCACCUGUUUCAAGUUCAAGUCGUUUCUAG